CCUAGGGAAAUUAUAAGGUAAUCAGGUUCUGUUGUUUUGUUGACAUAACAGCAGUAACAAAAAAAAAUAGGGGGCAGGUUAGAUGGCUCAGUGGGUAAGGGGAACUGUUGCCAAGUCUGGAACCCAUAUACCAGGAAAGAAUUGACUCUUGCAAGCUGUUCUCUAACCUCCACACAUACUCUAAGAAUAAAUGUAAAAUACGAAAUGAAUUUAAAUCCUUUAGUAGUCGGCUGUGGAAAAAGCUUACUUAGCUGUACGGUUAAUAAUAACCUAAGCAGCUGGGUGUGGCCAUCGUUAAGACCUCUAUAUAAAGGGAAUGUCCUGAAGUUGGUGAGGGAAUGGCUGGUUCAUAGCAUCCUUCUGCCAUUGCUGCUUAGACUCAGCAGCUGAACAGCUGUCUUUAUGGUGGGUUGUCCUUCCAUAGGGAACCAGUAGACUCAUUUAACAGUGAUUAGGAUUCUUGUGGCUACUUCCUGAAUAUUCACGGGUGCUAGUGUACAUGUAGUAAAGCACCCACAGUUAAAGUGCUUAGGAUGCUUGAGUUGAAAGGCUCAUCAUUUCCAGCAUCAAAAACUGCAAAAGUGCCUCUCCUUACUCAAAGUUUAGGAACUUCAUAAUAUAGUCUUAUUCUAGCCCAGGCUCAGCUUGAAUUAAGCAAUCCUGACCUUCCUACCUGUUAGGACUACAGGUGUGAUACCUGGUCCUGUUUUAUGUGGUGCUGGAUACUGAAUCCUGAAUUUCUUACUACAACUUAGUCUGCUUUUCUGGAGAAAGAAUCGAAGCCUUCAUUAGCCUAUUAAAAGACUGGAAGCCCUCCUCCCAUUGUUAACUACACUUUUGUUAAGGAAAGUCUUCUUGUACCAAUGAUAUCCUAUCAUUUACUUAAUGUAUUAACUCCUGAAACUAUAGCUUUAUUUCUUAUUUCCUUCCAAGAAAGCUGUGACAAAGAUACCAGAGAGGCCCUGAUGCUUCAGGUCGGUGACCAAGGUCAGAAGUGGAACCCAUCAGCACUACAACCCUGCACUGGCUAUCUGACUUCAGGAGUAACUCCACUCGAUCUGCAACCCACUCAAAGUUCUUCUUCACCAUCUGUAGUCCUUCCGGAGUUACUUCCUUGAGGUCACGGUCUAUGUGUUUUGUCUGCACACAAUAUGCCAUUUGUUCCCCGUAUGCAUGCCUGGUGCCAGAGGAGGCCAGAACAGGGAACCAUAUAUCCUAGAACCAGAGUUACAAGCAGAUGUGAGCAACCAUAUAGGUGACUGGUGGUACUUGAACAUCUCUGCAGGCCCUAAUUUGUCACUCUUAUAGUUCUUUUAGGUUAUUUAGAUGAGUCAUUUUUCUAGGUAAUAAAAUACUUAAACCAAA